CCUACGGGAGGCUGCAGUGGGGAAUAUUGGACAAUGGGGGGAACCCUGAUCCAGCCAUGCCGCGUGUGUGAAGAAGGCCCUCGGGUUGUAAAGCACUUUCAGUGAGGAAGAACGCCUGGUGGUUAAUACCCAUCAGGAAAGACAUCACUCACAGAAGAAGCACCGGCUAACUCCGUGCCAGCAGCAGCGGUAAUACGGAGGGUGCGAGCGUUAAUCGGAAUUACUGGGCGUAAAGCGCGCGUAGGUGGCUUGAUAAGCCGGUUGUGAAAGCCCCGGGCUCAACCUGGGAACGGCAUCCGGAACUGUCAAGCUAGAGUGCAGGAGAGGAAGGUAGAAUUCCCGGUGUAGCGGUGAAAUGCGUAGAGAUCGGGAGGAAUACCAGUGGCGAAGGCGGCCUUCUGGACUGACACUGACACUGAGGUGCGAAAGCGUGGGUAGCAAACAGGAUUAGAUACCCGUGUAGUC
rnacentral:rRNA from 1 species